rnacentral:rRNA from 1 species
CUGCGGAAGGUCAUUACUAGAGCAAAGGAUAGACAGCGCCCGCGGAGCUCGCUCCCGGGGCUACCCUACUCCCGUAGGGUUUAGAGUCGUCGGGCCUCUCGGAGAAGCUCGGUCCUGAACUCCACCCUUGAAUAAACUACCUUUGUUGCUUUGGCGGGCCGCCUCGUGCCAGCGGCUUCGGCUGUUGAGUGCCCGCCAGAGGACCCCAACUCUUGUUUUUAGUGAUGUCUGAGUACUAUAUAAUAGUUAAAACUUUCAACAACGGAUCUCUUGGUUCUGGCAUCGAUGAAGAACGCAGCGAAAUGCGAUAAGUAAUGUGAAUUGCAGAAUUCAGUGAAUCAUCGAAUCUUUGAACGCACAUUGCGCCCUCUGGUAUUCCGGGGGGCAUGCCUGUUCGAGCGUCAUUAUAACCACUCAAGCUCUCGCUUGGUAUUGGGGUUCGCGGUUUCGCGGCCCCUAAAAUCAGUGGCGGUGCCUGUCGGCUCUACGCGUAGUAAUACUCCUCGCGAUUGAGUCCGGUAGGUCUACUUGCCAGCAACCCCUAAUUUUUUUAAGGUUGACCUCGGAUCAGGUAGGGAUACCCGCUGAACUUAAGCAUAUCAAUAAGCGGAGGAAAAGAAACCAACAGGGAUUACCUCAGUAACGGCGAGUGAAGCGGUAACAGCUCAAAUUUGAAAGCUGGCUCUUUUAGGGUCCGCGUUGUAAUUUGUAGAAGAUGCUUCGGGUGUGGCCCCGGUCUAAGUUCC